rnacentral:rRNA from 1 species
GACGAACGCUGGCGGCGUGCUUAACACAUGCAAGUCGAACGGAAAGGCCCUGCUUUUGUGGGGUGCUCGAGUGGCGAACGGGUGAGUAACACGUGAGUAACCUGCCCUUGACUUUGGGAUAACUUCAGGAAACUGGGGCUAAUACCGGAUAGGAGCUCCUGCUGCAUGGUGGGGGUUGGAAAGUUUCGGCGGUUGGGGAUGGACUCGCGGCUUAUCAGCUUGUUGGUGGGGUAGUGGCUUACCAAGGCUUUGACGGGUAGCCGGCCUGGGAGGGUGACCGGCCACAUUGGGCCUGGGAUACGGCCCAGACUCCUACGGUCGGCAGCAGUGGGGAAUAUUGCACAAUGGGCGGAAGCCUGAUGCAGCAACGCCGCGUGCGGGAUGCCGGCCUUCGGGUUGUAAACCGCUUUCGCCUGUGGCGAAGCGUGAGUGACGGUAAUGGGUAAGGAAGCCCCGGCUAACUACGUG